GGUAGCGCGGAUGCGAUCCCAUGGCCAUGGCCACGCGUGCGUACUGGCUGAUGGGUCUCUUGUACCCCACGGCCGACGUGGGCCUCUUCUUCAUCUGGCUGCUGCUUCUGAAAAGGAAACCAGGCGAGGAGGGUCCCUCACACAGCACCAACGCUGCCAGAACCGCGCCGGGCACGGCCCCGAGCGCAGGACGGACCCCAGCGGGCGGAGGGGAGGCUCCCACCCGCGGCGCCUCCGUCGUGUCCCCGUGUCCCCGACCCACAGAGGUGGCACCGCCGGGCCCAGCUCACCCCCGCUCCUCGCCCCAGCUGGCGGGGAGCCGCACGCACCCGCCGGCCGGCACCAGCGGCUGGAAUUUCCACUGGUCCUCCUCGCAGUCGAAGUAGAGGCGGUUGACGAUUUUGUUCUUCUCCUCCGGAGGGAUGAAGUUCUCGAUGAUCAGGUACCUGCGAGAGGCACAGAGGGGGGAGAGGCAGGGGGAGAAGGAGAGGAAGGGGUUAGGGGGACAGGAGGGAGAGCAGAGAUGGGGAGCAAGGGGGAGCAGGGCAGGGGAGGACACGGGGAGCACGGGGGGGCAGAGAGGGUCCGCCAGGGUGGGAUCCAGCAGGGGUGGGCGAGGCAGGAGAGAAAGGGCAGAGGAAGACUGUCAUUCAGAGAGGAGCGGAGGAAACAUCGUCAGCUCUGCGCGCUGCAUCGGGGCCAAAACCCCACCGCCUGCUCCCCUGCGGGUCCCCGGGCAGGGUCUGCAAUGCGCGGUCUGCAACGUGCAGUUUGCAAUGUGCAAUUUGCAAUGUGCAGUUUGCAAUGCACCAUUUGCAAUGCAGCCCGUGAUGUGCAGUUUGCAGCAUGCAAUUUGCAAUGUGCAGUUUGCAAUGUGCAGUUUGCAAUGCAGCCCGCGAUGCGCAGUUUGCAACGUGCAGUUUGCAAUGCAUCAUUUGCAAUGCAGCCCGUGAUGUGCAGUUUGCAGUGUGCAAUUUGCAACGCACGGUUUACAAGGAAGCCUGCAAUGUGCAGUUGGCAGCACAGGGUUUGCAAGGCAGCCUGCAACGUGCAGGUUGCGAUGCAGGUUGGGAUGCACGGUUUGCAACGUGCAGCCUGCAACGCACGAUUUGCAACGCCCACGUUGAGUGCAGUCUGCAACGUUCAACUUGCAACACACAGUUUGCAACACACAGUUUGCAAAGCAGCCUGCAACGUGCAAUUUGCAACGUGCAAUUUGCAAUGUGCAAUUUGCACCGUGCAAUUUGCACCAUGCAGCUUGCAGUGCACAAUUUGCAAAGCAGCCUGCACCGUGCAGUUUGCAACCUGCAGUCUGCAGCGCAGCCCCCACUGCUGAGCCCCUGCAGCUCCCUGAUGCACCAGGAACCCCCCCGGGGGCUCCCCAAAUCCACCCAGGAGCCAGCUGCUCCCCCCCCAGCCCCUCUUUCCCCCCCUCAGGCCCUCUCGCAGCCCUCGCUGCCCCCCUGCACCCCCCAGGUCGGGAUUCCAGCCCCCUGCCGGCGUCCCGCCAGCCCCGCUAAGAGCAUUUCCUCUCAGCCCCGGAUUAUUCUUGUCGCUUUUUUUUUUUUUUUUUUUUUUUUUUUUUUUUAAAGCCUUAAUUCAUUCUGAAAAUCCCUUCGGAGGAUGGGAAGCCGAAGCGGCCAGGCUGUCGCAGCAGCGAAGCUUCCCCAGGCGAGAU
rnacentral:lncRNA from 1 species